rnacentral:rRNA from 1 species
GCAAGUCGAGCGGAGAGAGGUAGCUUGCUACUGAUCUUAGCGGCGGACGGGUGAGUAAUGCUUAGGAAUCUGCCUAUUAGUGGGGGACAACAUCUCGAAAGGGAUGCUAAUACCGCAUACGUCCUACGGGAGAAAGCAGGGGAUCUUCGGACCUUGCGCUAAUAGAUGAGCCUAAGUCGGAUUAGCUAGUUGGUGGGGUAAAGGCCUACCAAGGCGACGAUCUGUAGCGGGUCUGAGAGGAUGAUCCGCCACACUGGGACUGAGACACGGCCCAGACUCCUACGGGAGGCAGCAGUGGGGAAUAUUGGACAAUGGGGGGAACCCUGAUCCAGCCAUGCCGCGUGUGUGAAGAAGGCCUUAUGGUUGUAAAGCACUUUAAGCGAGGAGGAGGCUACUUUAGUUAAUACCUAGAGAUAGUGGACGUUACUCGCAGAAUAAGCACCGGCUAACUCUGUGCCAGCAGCCGCGGUAAUACAGAGGGUGCAAGCGUUAAUCGGAUUUACUGGGCGUAAAGCGCGCGUAGGCGGCUAAUUAAGUCAAAUGUGAAAUCCCCGAGCUUAACUUGGGAAUUGCAUUCGAUACUGGUUAGCUAGAGUGUGGGAGAGGAUGGUAGAAUUCCAGGUGUAGCGGUGAAAUGCGUAGAGAUCUGGAGGAAUACCGAUGGCGAAGGCAGCCAUCUGGCCUAACACUGACGCUGAGGUGCGAAAGCAUGGGGAGCAAACAGGAUUAGAUACCCUGGUAGUCCAUGCCGUAAACGAUGUCUACUAGCCGUUGGGGCCUUUGAGGCUUUAGUGGCGCAGCUAACGCGAUAAGUAGACCGCCUGGGGAGUACGGUCGCAAGACUAAAACUCAAAUGAAUUGACGGGGGCCCGCACAAGCGGUGGAGCAUGUGGUUUAAUUCGAUGCAACGCGAAGAACCUUACCUGGCCUUGACAUAGUAAGAACUUUCCAGAGAUGGAUUGGUGCCUUCGGGAACUUACAUACAGGUGCUGCAUGGCUGUCGUCA